UAGGGAAUAUUGCGCAAUGGGGGAAACCCUGACGCAGCAAUGCCGCGUGAGUGAGGAAGGUCUUCGGAUUGUAAAGCUCUGUCCUAGGGGAAGAAUGGCAUAGUGGUUAAUACCCAUUAUGAUUGACGGUACCCUAGAAGAAAGCACCGGCUAACUCCGUGCCAGCAGCCGCGGUAAUACGGAGGGUGCAAGCGUUGUUCGGAUUUAUUGGGCGUAAAGCGCGCGCAGGCGGAUUUGUAAGUCAGGUGUG
rnacentral:rRNA from 1 species